AUGCCCCCAUCGACCUUCGCCCCCGGCCCCUCCUCCCCACCCAGGCAGGCAGGCAGCUUCCGCCUUUAGGGCAACCCUAGCCAAAUCCCCAAUCCCACCGGCCACCACCACGUAUUCCUUGUCGAUGCGACUCCCGCCGCACCCUCGCUAGCCACCUCCUCUCCGUCGUCGCAGCACCGCAGCUAGGCCGUGGUCGCAUCGCUACAUCCUCCCAACCGAGGCACCACAGCUACUCCUCCUCUUCCCCCCACCGUUGCCAUAAGGAGGCGCCAGAGGAGGCAUGCACUGCGGCGAGGCAUGCAGACGGCGGUUAAACCCUAGCGAGACAGCUCGGGGUGAGACGGCGGAUGCCGCUGUAGGUCGACGAGGGCCGGCUCCGCCGCCCGCGCAAGGCGCUCAUCGACCUCGUCACGCUUCUCGUAUAAAUAAACAGCAUCCCCCUCUCAAUCCAAAUCCACCAAACCCACUCCUCUGCUGCCGCAUUCCAACCCAUUCCCAUCGUCUUCAACGACCAACCCAGCGCCACCAGCAGCGCCAUCAGCAGGAGAGAGAUCGCCGGAGCCAUGACGAGGGGCGGCGGAGGCGACAUGAAGUCCUUCUACCGUCAGCAGAAGACGCACGCCGCCGCCGCCACUACCAAGCCCACUGGCGGCGUCUCCAAGAAGGCGGCGGUGCACCACCACAAGAAGGCCGCGCUCGCCACCAACGUCCACCCAGCCCUAGAGGAGCAGUGUUCCAGCUAUAGGCAAUAGAUUACACUCGGCCUUGAUCCUCUCAAGAAAUUCUGCGUGCAAUCUGAAGGGCAUACGAGCACACAUAGAACAAGACUUGGAGUUCAAAAUCUACAGCAGGGCCAGGCUUCAACAUUCAGUUCAGGAUAGGGCUGACAAUGGGUUAUAAAUUUUGCACUAUAAGUUUUAAGGAUCGAAUCGGGUUAGGAUCGGGCUCUAUUACUAGUCAUUUUUGAACUAUAGUUUAUUUAGGGCCUUGACAUUUUGUGAAGAACCAUUUGGAUCACGAUCCAUUACCACCCCUAGUUCAGGAACAUCCACCGUCCCCAGCUGUGCAGAAAAAAAAACUGGCGCCAUAGUGACGAUGCAAUCCAGAAACUCUUGCAAGGUCUUUAUAUUCAACAGUUUGAAGCUCGAAAUUAACUCAACGCCUUACUAAACCAUAAGCUCCAACAGCACACCCUCACGGCACUAACAGCACGAAGAUGAAUGGCAACCAGGAGCCAUCCUCGCCUCUCCUUUUUCACGAGCCUCGCCUGAAGCCUUUUUCUAGAUAGCUUUCGUCGUGAACUUCCAGGCCAGUGGUCAGAAUUCAGAAUCUCCAACCAUACAGGCACCAUCUGUGAGACUGUGAUCUGUCUUGAACCUCCUGGGAGCUAUCAAUUUUUCGAGCUCACCCUAGAAAACCUCUUUAUUAAUAAUUUGAAUGCCGAGAACCGAUGCACCGCUGACUAUGCUACAGCUUUCCUGAUUGCUCUGCUCCGAAGUCCUGCGCAGGAUGUCGAAGAGUGAAACGCCUGAACUCAUGUUACACCCCGUACUUGCCCUUGUGCCCACUGGUUUUGGCUAUGGACUGAACUUGGCCUUCUUGGGUUGAGAGGAGUUGGCUUGGUCCUGCAGGAUGGAAAUAAAAAAUAGCCAAGCACAUUCUGGGAGACAAGAAAUGAAUGCCAUGAUAGGGCAGAUUCAAACUCAUGGAUAAAGCAGAGUAGAGCUUCAAAACAAGCUUGGUAAGUUCCUACUGCUGCUGUCAUCACGACCAAAUACAUAGGAUCUAUAGACUCAUCUAUGAGAAGAUGCCAGUGAACCACUGGCAGUUUAUCCAAGAAACGAUGACUGCAAGGAAUACACUAGAUCAGAUGUUGCAACUGGUACUACCUCUUGAUCUGCAUGGCAGCACUCAUGUAGUCUAUCCAUUCAUUCAUUAAUAUUAUGUUUGCCUAGCCUAAAAAAUCCCAAACAUGGAUAUGGAUAAAGAAACAUUAAGUAAAGAACAGUGUGGUCUCUAAAUGUUAAUAGAAUAUUCAGUUAGGCUUGUUUUGUUGUUCAGAAGAUUUUAAAUAUGCUGCUUCAUUCAGUUGACUGAAUUUUCCAAAAAUUCUCACAACUAGGAUUUUUUAAAAUCUGCCUUCUGAAAUCAUCUAAAAGAAAGCAGUGAAUCACAAAUUAGUAGAGAAUUUUGUGAAAUUAUUCAAAAAAAUUCAAAGUAUUCAAUGAGUCACUGAGAUCUUUGAAUAAUCGAUGAUGCUUCAUUGCUCUUUCAAACAAGUGUUACAUGAGUCAUUUAUAAAACUGUGGAAAACUUUAGAUAAAAUUUCCAUGAAAUUAGUGUGAAGCAACGCAGAACAUUAACAUGUUGUGCACUCAUGCAAGGAACAGAGCACCCAGUACUACUGGUUCUUAGAUAAAUGGAUUAACACCCAGUACUGCAAGGAACAGAGCAUCCGUGCAUACCUAUUGGCAACAAAGCCUUCUGUUGCAUCAUUAUGCAUUCACUUUGCAAUGAUUUUUUUGCACUGAUAAGGAGAAGUAGUCUUUUAUGUUAUUUUGCCACCAUUUGCAGUAGUUCUAGCUUUACUCGUUGGCCAAUUUAUCAGUUGCAGGUACUAACGGUGCCAGGCUACCAGCUUUGACUAUGUGAUUUCAUUACUUGUUGUAUUCAGAAAAUCUAAUAUUAUGAAGGUCAACUUUCUUAUUUUACUGAAAGUCUAAAAGGCACUACCUAUUAACAUAUUAGUGCCUGCUCAAGUGCAGAAAAGUGGUCAAAAUCUUCCUUGUGUUGUCUUAGCAAUGCUUUAGCACUCCAUAUAUUCUAUUAUAAUUAGGCAGGGUUGGAGAAGAAAAGCGCAUCACAGGGAAUAUCUAUGGCACUUUUAUACUCAUGUUCUUGUGUUUCUUGUUUGCAGCCUACACAAAUCUGGAGUUUGAACACACGACAGGUGAUAUGCUUAUCUUUUGUGGAUGGACUGUUCGCUUGGCUUUUGCUGAUUGAAUUGGAGCUGCACUUGUAGUUUGGUAACGUUUAUAUACAUAACUAUGCGGAUUGCGUUAGCUAGAAUAUGUCUUCCAGUACCAGGGUGACAAUGGGCUCUAAAUUUUACACUAAAAUUUAAGAAUCCGAUCGGGUUAUGAUCAGGUUAUAUUUAUAUUUAUUAUUGAACUAAAAUUAAUUUAGGACCCUAACAAAUUGUGGAGAAACAUUUUGAAUCGUGAUCCAUUAUCACCCCUACCAGUACCACAUACAUACCUCCCGUUGUGGUGUUUAACCCUACGUGCAGACCUUGUCACCUUAUUUUGGAUCGAUUCCCUGUUGUAUGUGGCUUGUGCUAAAACAAGAAACACUUGCAACUUUACUAGAAAUUAUGGUCAGACUCUCUUUCUCUGUGUUCGUUUGAUUGUUGCUCUGGCUGUCUCCUGCUAACCAAUUUUGUGGGAAAUUCAACCUUUGAAGCAUCAAUGCGGUGAAUAAUUUCUCAAACCCUUAGUAUGUUUUCCCUAAUGCUGGAUAAGGUGCUCUCAAAAAGGUCAGUUCCUAUUUGAUGGUGCAUUCAUUAUUUGGUUGUGCAUGGUUAAUGGUGCCAUCUUUCUUGUAUGAAUGCCUGAUAUCUAAUCGUGCAAGCAUAUUUCUCAUGUAUUCUAUCUCUGUGUGAUAUUAACUGUGCCAAAGUAUAUCUCCCAAACAUAUAUGAUUGUAAUGCAUGUUAUAGAGCAUUAUUUGGUUGUUUUAGUAUUUUAUAUGCUCAGGCAAAAAAUAACUUGAAAAUUUUGAUUCAUUUCCUUUUUCCAGCCAUAUGAAACCUAUGGAUAUAAAUCCAGGUGAUGAUUGGACAAAUGUAAGUAUCCCUUUGAUACAUAAUAACCAGCAUGCCCAACGUGAUGGAUGGUGGCGACCGUCUGAGACAAGGUAACUUAAAACUUCUAUGCACACAAUUUGAUCUCUUCUUCAUUAUGUCCCUCAUACUGGUUAUAUAUCAUUAUAUUUUUUGCUCUGUUCGCACAAACUACUUUUGUUAUUCAUCAAUCAGACGCGUUAAGUGGCGACCAUCUAUUUGUCGUUCUGCUCCCCUUAACAUGUAACUGUUAAGUGGUAACCAAUCAGACACGUCCAUUUCAAGGUUUUCCUUAGUUUCCAUUGAAAUUUAUCUAUUACCAUGGUUAUCUGUUAACCAAACUAUGAAGUUCUGCAUAUAAUGGUCAGAGGCUAUGGUAUUUAUCUUAUAGUACAGGAAAUAGACGCCGAAGCAGCUCCUAUGUUCCAUUGAAGAAAGAAGGCAAUUCAAUUCUGAAUGAUAAGAAAAAUACCAAGCUUCGAGUACUUGUCGUUCGAGAUCCUUGUGCUAUUUGCAGGGCUGAUGCCCGACUCUCAGCUCAGCACUUCCAUCAUUGUGAUGUGCCAAAACACCGAAGCCAUAUCAUACAUGAUCACCUAUGGCUUCGCCGCUGUCAUCAGCACAAGGGUGUCCAACGAGCUGGGAGCCCGGAACAUCGCCAACGCCAGGAAGGCGCUCACCGUGUCGCUGGCGCUGUCCCUGAUGCUGGGGGUGGUGUUCCUGCUGCUACUGGGCCUCGGCCAUGACCUCUGGGUGCGCCUCUUCACCACCAGCGAGGCCGUGGUCAGCGCCUUCGCCUCCAUGACGCCGCUGCUCAUCGGCUCCGUCGUGCUGGACUCCACGCAGGGGGUACUCUGCGGCGUCACCAGGGGCUGCGGGUGGCAGCACCUGGCGGCGUGGACAAACCUGGUGGCCUUCUAUGUCAUCGGCUUGCCGCUCGCCAUCCUCUUCGGAUUCACGCUCGCCUUCCAAACCAAGGGGCUGUGGAUGGGGCAGAUAUGUAGCCUCCUCUGCCAGAACUGCGUCCUCUUUUUUAUCACCCUGCGAACCAACUGGCAGGAGUUAGACCUGACCAUGUUCAACAAGGACAACGAUUUUGUCUGCUAGGAUUCUAGAAAGAGUUUUUCUUUUCUUUUUUGCCAUGUGCUGUUGCUGAAACAUUGAACCAUCAGCAUCAGGCUUCGACAGAGCUGUUUGGUGUUUGCUCAUCAAUUCAUCAUCAGUGUAACACUACAGAUUGUAACAUUUGGAAUCUCGAAGAUAGGAAUUAAAAAUGUUCU